rnacentral:rRNA from 1 species
GGAGUGAAAAAGAACCUGAAACCGUGUACGUACAAGCAGUGGGAGCACAGGUUUACCUGUGUGACUGCGUACCUUUUGUAUAAUGGGUCAGCGACUUAUAUUCUGUAGCAAGGUUAACCGUAUAGGGGAGCCGUAGGGAAACCGAGUCUUAACCGGGCGUUAAGUUGCAGGGUAUAGACCCGAAACCCGGUGAUCUAGCCAUGGGCAGGUUGAAGGUUGGGUAACACUAACUGGAGGACCGAACCGACUAAUGUUGAAAAAUUAGCGGAUGACCUGUGGCUGGGGGUGAAAGGCCAAUCAAACCGGGAGAUAGCUGGUUCUCCCCGAAAGCUAUUUAGGUAGCGCCUCGUGAAUUCAUCUCCGGGGGUAGAGCACUGUUUCGGCUAGGGGGCCAUCCCGGCUUACCAACCCGAUGCAAACUGCGAAUACCGGAGAAUGUUAUCACGGGAGACACACGGCGGGUGCUAACGUCCGUCGUGAAGAGGGAAACAACCCAGACCGCCAGCUAAGGUCCCAAAGUCAUGGUUAAGUGGGAAACGAUGUGGGAAGGCCCAGACAGCCAGGAUGUUGGCUUAGAAGCAGCCAUCAUUUAAAGAAAGCGUAAUAGCUCACUGGUCGAGUCGGCCUGCGCGGAAGAUGUAACGGGGCUAAACCAUGCACCGAAGCUGCGGCAGCGAACGUAUCACCCAAGACAACUUUACGGAGUUGACGAUUGACGGAGCGAAGCGACGUCAAAGCGUUCAUUAAAGUCGAGUUGGCUUAGGGAUACGUUCGUUGGGUAGGGGAGCGUUCUGUAAGCCUGUGAAGGUGUGUCGUGAGGCAUGCUGGAGGUAUCAGAAGUGCGAAUGCUGACAUAAGUAACGAUAAAGCGGGUGAAAAGCCCGCUCGCCGGAAGACCAAGGGUUCCUGUCCAACGUUAAUCGGGGCAGGGUGAGUCGACCCCUAAGGCGAGGCCGAAAGGCGUAGUCGAUGGGAAACGGGUUAAUAUUCCCGUACUUGGUGUUACUGCGAAGGGGGGACGGAGAAGGCUAUGUUGGCCGGGCGACGGUUGUCCCGGUUUAAGCGUGUAGGUGUGUGUUCCAGGUAAAUCCGGUUCACUUUAACACUGAGGCGUGACGACGAGGCACUACGGUGCUGAAGCAACAAAUGCCCUGCUUCCAGGAAAAGCCUCUAAGCAUCAGGUAACACGAAAUCGUACCCCAAACCGACACAGGUGGUCAGGUAGAGAAUACCAAGGCGCUUGAGAGAACUCGGGUGAAGGAACUAGGCAAAAUGGUGCCGUAACUUCGGGAGAAGGCACGCUGACACGUAGGUGAAGUGAUUUACUCAUGGAGCUGAAGUCAGUCGAAGAUACCAGCUGGCUGCAACUGUUUAUUAAAAACACAGCACUGUGCAAACACGAAAGUGGACGUAUACGGUGUGACGCCUGCCCGGUGCCGGAA